CUUAAAAUAAAUGGCAAACUGAUUGGAAUUCCCCCUUUGAUAGUAUAAAUAUACGAAAAAGUGUUGUAGAUUUUAAAAACACAAGAUACUUCCAGAUGAAUAUCAUAAUAAGAUCUUGAAAACAAGCAAAGCGGAUAUACUUUACAGUUUGCGUCUCAAACCAGAGAAAAUAAAUGAAGCUGUUUGGAAUUAUCAAAUUUAUAUCUAUGUUAGCAAUGUUCCUGAUGCUGAUGUUUUCAGAAGGAAAUGCUCGUUACUGCAGUUAUAAUAACAAAAGAGGCAAAUGCCAUGACGUCAUUAGGGUUGGAUCAAGCAAAUUCGAAAAAGGUUUAUGUGAAGCUCGUGGAGGAAAAUGUGUCCCGGGCCGUCGCCCAAAACGGUGUUUCUGCAAAAUGAAAAUUUAUUUGUGAUUCUUCAGAGUAUGAAGCUCGCGGAGCGAAAUGUGUCCCUUGCAGAUGCCAAAAAAGGUGUUUCUGCAAAAUGACAAUUCAUUUGUGAUUCUUCAGAGUGUAGAGCAGAAUUAAUGCAUUUAUUCUGUUUUGUUUGAUAACCUUUGAACUUGCAUUAUGCUUGAUUCUACCUUGUAUUAUGAUAUUUAAACUUGCAUUAUAUGAUUGAUUCCAUUUUGCAUUAUUUCAUUCAAUUUAAAUGGUCUUUCAUUGAGUGAUAACUUAUGCUAAAUAAAGCUCGAUCUCUGA